rnacentral:rRNA from 1 species
AUGCAAGUCGAACGGUAAGGCCCUUCGGGGUACACGAGUGGCGAACGGGUGAGUAACACGUGGGUGAUCUGCCCUGCACUUCGGGAUAAGCCUGGGAAACUGGGUCUAAUACCGGAUAGGACUCCGAAUCGCAUGGUUUGGGGUGGAAAGCUUUUGCGGUGUGGGAUGGGCCCGCGGCCUAUCAGCUUGUUGGUGGGGUGAUGGCCUACCAAGGCGACGACGGGUAGCCGGCCUGAGAGGGUGUCCGGCCACACUGGGACUGAGAUACGGCCCAGACUCCUACGGGAGGCAGCAGUGGGGAAUAUUGCACAAUGGGCGCAAGCCUGAUGCAGCGACGCCGCGUGAGGGAUGACGGCCUUCGGGUUGUAAACCUCUUUCAAUAGGGACGAAGCGUAAGUGACGGUACCUAUAGAAGAAGCACCGGCCAACUACGUGCCAGCAGCCGCGGUAAUACGUAGGGUGCGAGCGUUGUCCGGAAUUACUGGGCGUAAAGAGCUCGUAGGUGGUUUGUCGCGUUGUUCGUGAAAACUCACAGCUUAACUGUGGGCGUGCGGGCGAUACGGGCAGACUGGAGUACUGCAGGGGAGACUGGAAUUCCUGGUGUAGCGGUGGAAUGCGCAGAUAUCAGGAGGAACACCGGUGGCGAAGGCGGGUCUCUGGGCAGUAACUGACGCUGAGGAGCGAAAGCGUGGGGAGCGAACAGGAUUAGAUACCCUGGUAGUCCACGCCGUAAACGGUGGGUACUAGGUGUGGGUUUCCUUCCUUGGGAUCCGUGCCGUAGCUAACGCAUUAAGUACCCCGCCUGGGGAGUACGGCCGCAAGGCUAAAACUCAAAGGAAUUGACGGGGGCCCGCACAAGCGGCGGAGCAUGUGGAUUAAUUCGAUGCAACGCGAAGAACCUUACCUGGGUUUGACAUGCACAGGACGCCGGCAGAGAUGUCGGUUCCCUUGUGGCCUGUGUGCAGGUGGUGCAUGGCUGUCGUCAGCUCGUGUCGUGAGAUGUUGGGUUAAGUCCCGCAACGAGCGCAACCCUUGUCUCAUGUUGCCAGCACGUUAUGGUGGGGACUCGUGAGAGACUGCCGGGGUCAACUCGGAGGAAGGUGGGGAUGACGUCAAGUCAUCAUGCCCCUUAUGUCCAGGGCUUCACACAUGCUACAAUGGCCGGUACAAAGGGCUGCGAUGCCGUGAGGUGGAGCGAAUCCUUUAAAGCCGGUCUCAGUUCGGAUCGGGGUCUGCAACUCGACCCCGUGAAGUCGGAGUCGCUAGUAAUCGCAGAUCAGCAACGCUGCGGUGAAUACGUUCCCGGGCCUUGUACACACCGCCCGUCACGUCAUGAAAGUCGGUAACACCCGAAGCCGGUGGCCUAACCC